CCUGCUUGUGGCCGAUCCCGACGCGGUGCCGGCGGUGCUCGAAGCGCUGCGUGCGCAUCCGCUGGGGCGCAAUGCCGCGCUGAUCGGCGAGGCGGGC
rnacentral:tRNA from 1 species